GAUUCUGGCUCAGGAUGAACGCUAGCUACAGGCUUAACACAUGCAAGUCGAGGGGCAGCAUGAUCUUAGCUUGCUAAGAUGAUGGCGACCGGCGCACGGGUGAGUAACGCGUAUCCAACCUUCCCUGUACUAGGGGAUAGCCCGGCGAAAGUCGGAUUAAUACCCUAUGUUUUCCGAAGCGAGCAUUUAAUUUGGAACAAAGGUUUACCGGUAUAGGAUGGGGGAUGCGUCUGAUUAGAUAGUAGGCGGGGUAACGGCCCACCUAGUCGACGAUCAGUAGGGGUUCUGAGAGGAAGGUCCCCCACAUUGGAACUGAGACACGGUCCAAACUCCUACGGGAGGCAGCAGUGAGGAAUAUUGGUCAAUGGGCGAGAGCCUGAACCAGCCAAGUAGCGUGCAGGAUGACGGCCCUAUGGGUUGUAAACUGCUUUUAUAUAGGGAUAAAGUGAGGGACGUGUCCCUUAUUGUAGGUACUAUAUGAAUAAGGACCGGCUAAUUCCGUGCCAGCCGCCGC
rnacentral:rRNA from 1 species